AAGCCUCUCAGCUGCUCUCUUCGACAAUGGUGAAUACUUGUAGGACCAGCUUCAUCAUCAUCAUGAUCCUCUUGCUCUUCAUCAAUCAGUCUGCUCUUUCUUCUUCUGCACGCGUCCGUCAUCUAGAAGGUCGAGAUCAUCUUCCUCACCACCGGACACUUAGUGAGAAGGAGAAAGCUGAUAAGGAACGUCUCAGUUUCAUAUUUAGAACGAUCGAGGCUGACAUCAAUCUGGAGGAAGAUGUUUCUCUCCGUCUUCCCCAAUUUGCUCGAUA